UUUUUUUUUUUUUUUUUUUUUUUUUUGUCGUUGAUGAUUAUUCUUAUUUGGUCUGGGCAGACCUUUUUUCUAAGAAUGAGCUGUAAUAAAUUAGCAUUGCACAUAGGAUCAUCUUUAAGUUCUACGGGUUGAUUAAAACUUGUCAUGGGCCUUUAAGAGUUUAGACUUUAUUAUGAGCUUUUUUUUUUUUUUCCUUAUAGGCUGUGAAGCUCAGGAAAUGGGUAGGCAGGAAGAACAUGGUUUUUUAGUAGGUUUAUACGUUUUUUAAAAACCUGCUCUGGAAAGUUGGUGAGAAUGACAGAAUUUAGACAUGAUGAUAUUGCUUCACCUUGCUAAGAGCUCACUCGAGGUGCCAGAGUAAGACAUUGCACUGAUUUUUGUACAGUAGUCGAUCGCUUACCGCUUAACAAAAUGUCAGAGAAUGCCUUUGGGGAGAAUUCUAGAUAAGUUCCUAUGUUUUACAGUUUGAAGGGCGAUGAUUUAACGAGUUGGAUAGGUUUAUGAAAUUGCUGGAAGUGAUUCAUCGUGUUUUUCGAGGUUUGAGUGAGACGUCUGAAUCCAGGGUCUGAGGUUUUUGUCCUAUGGAGUAUUUCAUUUAAAGAACUGUUACUGAUAAAAUUGACUGGGGAAACUAGGUGCCAAAGGUGUAUUUAAGAAAAUACCAAAGACUCAAAGAUUAGUGUUAGGGAGACUAUGGCCGAGAAGCCAGCAAAGGCAAGAUUCUAAACCAAGCAGUGCAGGGGUGGUGUGGAAAUCCUGCUAAGGGCUUACUGGUGUGCUUUCUAAGCUUUGGAGAGAAUGAUGACAGACAGGAAGACAAUACUAGAUCAAGAUAAUCAAGCUUUUGUAGCUCAAAUAUGGCCACUGUCCACACAGUGUCAUCCCCAGCUGAGGCUCUGACUUGUAACGAGGCUGUCCGCAUCUUACUGUACGGAUUCCUCACUUGGCCCCUUGGUGAAUCACUAAAGUGAUGUGCUCAAAGAAUACAGGGGCUCUAACUGCUUUGUAUUGUGCAAGAUUACAAAGAUGCCCAGUUGAUCCAAGUGUCAGAUUUAUCAAUCAACAUUAAGGAAAUUACGUUAGAAUAAAGUACCAUUUAUAAUAAGAGGUUAAAUCAAGUCAGUAUGAAUGGUGAGAUGUCUUUGAAAUCCAUAUAUAAAUAUUUAAAAUGUUUUGGAUUUAAUUGGAGAGCAAGAUUUGGCACAGACUUUUAAUAUUUUUAUUUUACUGCUUAUAAAAGGCUUCAUUUCUCAGAAAACUUCUUUCAAAAAUAUUGAUUUAUUUAAAAUAGAGACUAGUCUGAAACUCCAAAUUUGAUAGGAUUAGUAUGCCAUUAUAAGUCUAAAAAAUAGAAUCAGUUAUCUAAUGCUUUUUAAGUUUUUACUGAAAUGCACACCUGGUGUGACUUAUGUUAAGGUCUCUAAGAAGAGGCCACCAACGAUAACAGGAGUGACAUUGUAAAAAUGCACAUGCUUACAAAGGCUAAGUAUAGAAAGAUGCUUAUUUUGGGAUAGAAGGGAUAAGAGGAGGAAAAAUCAAGAAAGUGUAAAUUUGUAAUAUUUCCUGUGUGUCAGAAACAUUAAACAAAGCCAGAACUCCCAGACAAAGAACCAGUAACAGAUGUAAAAAUCCAUUUUAUUUCAAGACAUCGUACCUGAGUGCUUUGAUCUAUACAUUCGUAUAUAAGCUGUCUUAGAAGCCAGUGGUAUCUGUGAUUCUACUUUUAUUUAAAUAUGCAUUGAUUUAAAAACAGAUUAUUUAAAAAACACCUUUUAGUGGAAAUAAUUUUCCCUAAUAAACAGCUCAUAGAUAAGGAGUUGACAAGUGUUAUCUUGAUUUUUUUUCUAACUUGUAUUUAAAUUCUGCAGACUCUCCCGGGUUAGCCCGUGGAUAGCUGUGACUUCCCCAGGGCAUGCUGGGAUAUAGGGAGAUUCUAUCCAGGUUUGCUUUGAUCAUGACUUCUGCAUGUUUCACUAUGGGUGGUGCCAGCAUCUAUUACAGCUCUUUUGUCUCGAGGCAUCCUUCCUUUGGAGACAGAAGCCAUCCUUGGGAUGAGGGAACUGAGAUGAGCAAUCUGAGCAUCAUUGAUAUACAGCCCUCCUGAGGGUGGUGUGGCAAAAAGAACACACACAGAGAUGCACACACACACACACACACACAUACACACAGAGAGAUGGAGACUCAUGCAAGUAUGCACACACAAACACACAGACAUACAGAUACACAUAUACACACAUGCACACAUGAGAGAAACAGACACAAAGAGAUGGAGAAGCAGAGAUACUCGUGGAUACACACAGAUGCUCACACACACAGAGACACACACAGAUAUAUGCAGAUACACACAUAGAUAUAUACACAGAUAUGCAUGCACAGACACCCUCCCAACACACACACACACACACACACACACACACACACACACACACACACACACACAUGAACCUGGCAAUGAAGAACACACAGACACUAGGAAAGGAGGUGAGAAAUACAGAGAAAAUCAAGGACCAGGGGAGUGGUGACAGGCGGGGCCCCUAAGUGAAAGACUAGAUUGUUCCAUGAGAGGGUCUAUUGCUUGCUGUGCUCAUGUUCUCCUUCCUGUGGCCACUGAACAUAAAACACCUGCCGCCUGAGUGGAUGGAUUCAGCCAUGAUGACUAACCUUAGAUUCCACUCAGCACAGAUGAGGUUUGAACAGUGAAAUAUGGGAUUACCUCAAAAUGCCGCUGAACCUGGACUCUGAACAGACUAGUGAAGAAAAACAAAACAAAACAAAACAAAACAACCCAGAAACUACAGCUGGAGGAGAUGCUAAAUCCUGAGGCUGUGUACAAGUGCAUAUAUUCAAAUGCAUGGGCCACAUCUCAAGAUUAAGCAAGUCGGUGCCCAGGGACUCAGAAGUACAGUUCAGCACUCACUAAAACACUCCUAGGGUUGAACACUGUGCCAGACCUGGGGGCAUGACCUGAGCGACACACAGCCACCUUGCUCAGUUUCCCUAGAAGAUGACAGAGAGAAUUUGACACUUGCCUCUUCUUUCCCAAAUUGGAAUGUUUACCCAACAUCUUUCUCCAAAAGUGUUUGCAGGCAAUAAGAUGCACAGGGAAGAGGGAGUUUUGUUCACACAGAGCAGGUCCGGAAAGGGAUGCACACACUGUGCCUCACAGCCUACUUUACGCUGGCAAGCAUAGGAUGCUUGUGUUGCCUGGGGUACUGAGGCUAGUCUACACUCCCCUCAGAUGUUUGCUUGGGAGGUGGCAGGGAAACAAAUUCAAGUAUUCAACAACCCCUCCAUCUUUCUAGUUUUUUGUUCUUUUAUAGGGUGAAUCAGGUUAAUAUUGAUGUCAAGGAAAGCUGUAAAGGACAAUCAUAAUGGGUAGAUCAUGGCCUAAAGCUGGGUCUGGCAUGAAUAAGGUCAGAGAGGCAGCUUUUGUUCAUGUGUCUUUUGAUUUGAAUGGAUUUGGGGAUUUUUUUUUUUUAAAUCACCUGCUACUGAAGCUAUCUUCUCUCUGUCCCAUGAGCUGCCUCUCUGACUUGCAGUUUGUCCCUAAUCCCCAGUUGUCUUCUGUCCAUUCUCUCUUGCAUGGACAUUGAUCUGCCCAGAGAUAGUCAUAGGAGGAUAAUAGCUUAAAAAUUCUGGCCGAGUUCCUCAGCCAGAAGAGUUCCAGAGUUUACCAAACUAGAAUCCAUUCAUGGUAACAUUAUUGAUUGAACACAAUUCUUGUUAAAAAAGUGACCAGACUUAGUCACUGAGUGCUUGUGAGGUAAGGUAGUUUUCUUGUUUCUAGAAUUCAGUGUAAUAGUUACAUUUUGCUGAGAAAAAUCCCCGUGUUGGAAACAAUCAAAGAUUGUAUAUAAUUAAUUCAAAUACUUUAUGUAAUAUAUGUCAACUUACAUAUUCUUAAACUUUAUUACUAUAUGUUAGCAACAUGACAAGUGCCAUUUUUUGAAAGAGUGAAUCAUGUCUAAAAAUUGUUACAUUUUGGGACAAAAUUUCCACAUGAAGAUAAUUCUGUCUUUCCUCAAGGCUUGUUUUAUACAGUUGGCUGAGUUAAGAACAUUCCUCUGGUUUGGUACUUCUGAAAUCCCCUUGGACAUUCAGUUUCUUGUUAAAAACAUAAGUUCUUUUUUUUUUUUUUAAAGUCUUCAAUGGGACCCAUGUCUUCAUUUGUCAGUAUUUUUGAGUAAAUGCUAUUUUGAAUAGAAAGGUUAUUUGUAAUUUCAAGAUGGAACUGCUAAUGUAAGCGUACACGUGGAUGCUUGUGUGUGUUUUCCAUAGCACAUUUUUUGUUUUUUGUUUUUUUUGUUUUUUCUUUUAAGAAACAUAAAACACAGAUGGGCGUGAGUCUCGCACGACUGCAAUCCCAGUGCCUAUGAGGUAGAGGCAAGAGGGUCAGGAGGUCAAGAUUUCCUCAGCUGUGUAGUGACUUAGAGAUCAGCCCUGGGCCACAUGCAACAGCCUUGUCUUAAGGGGGGGGGCAGAGGGAAAGAAAUAAAUGGCAAAAAGAAAUAUCACAAAGCCAUAAAGCAUUUGUCCCAAAUAGUCACAAAUAUAACACAGUGUAAUGUGCGUGGAAAUUGAUUUUGAUGGUUGGAAGUUUGGGUCCAAAUCAAAUGCAUAAGUGGAGCAUGAGUAAGGGUUCUGUCACUGUCUUAACCAGUCAGUGCAUUUCUCCCCUCCGUGGGGAGCUCCACAUGACCACACUGGAACAAGCGUAAAACGCUUCCAGAGUUAACAAGACUUUGACAAUCUAUUGCUUGGUCAAAUCUGUAGCAGUAGUUCAAAAUACUCUAUGUUAAACUCAAGAUUCUAGGUGUUGGCAACUCCAAGCUAGAAAGUCACCCCGGGCUGUUUCCUUUACCCCUUGGUUCAAAACUCCAUUUGAGCUCUAUUCUUUGCAAGAUCCUGCCCCUGCCAGGGAUCCCCCCUUCUCCCCCAGUUAUGGAGGUGGAGAAGGAUCAAUGUAAAUGAAGAGUUGCAUAAGUUGUCUAGUUUGAGCAUGGCAAGCGGUUUUGUCAGGCUCUCUUCUGGUCAUGAGUUCUUGGUAUCGCUAUUGUGAAAUCCUGUGUCAUAAUAACCCAUUAAUGAAGGGAGAGCAGCAGAAGUCUGGCUCCGUGGGAACGCACUCAGAUGCGGAGCAGAUGGCGUUCUACAACAUUUAUUUUUGGGGAAAUGUGUAUCUGUUACAUAACCUAAAAUAUGUCUUUUUCACUUUUAAAAAUAUUUGGGUCAUGGUUUGAAGUUUUGAUUGGAUUUUUUUUAAGUUGGGAGGAAGAAGAAAGGUAACUGUAUUUUACGACGUAUUUGACAUGUUACUAAUAAAAUUUUAUUACUGGCAAAA
rnacentral:lncRNA from 1 species